AUGAGGAGCUUGCUCUUCAAAUCGAGUGGCGAACGGGUGAGUAACGCGUGAGGAACCUGCCUCAAAGAGGGGGACAACAGUUGGAAACGACUGCUAAUACCGCAUAAGCCCACGGCUCGGCAUCGAGCAGAGGGAAAAGGAGCAAUCCGCUUUGAGAUGGCCUCGCGUCCGAUUAGCUAGUUGGUGAGGUAAUGGCCCACCAAGGCGACGAUCGGUAGCCGGACUGAGAGGUUGAACGGCCACAUUGGGACUGAGACACGGCCCAGACUCCUACGGGAGGCAGCAGUGGGGAAUAUUGCACAAUGGGGGAAACCCUGAUGCAGCGACGCCGCGUGGAGGAAGAAGGUCUUCGGAUUGUAAACUCCUGUUGUUGAGGAAGAUAAUGACGGUACUCAACAAGGAAGUGACGGCUAACUACGUGCCAGCAGCCGCGGUAAAACGUAGGUCACAAGCGUUGUCCGGAAUUACUGGGUGUAAAGGGAGCGCAGGCGGGAGAACAAGUUGGAAGUGAAAUCCAUGGGCUCAACCCAUGAACUGCUUUCAAAACUGUUUUUCUUGAGUAGUGCAGAGGUAGGCGGAAUUCCCGGUGUAGCGGUGGAAUGCGUAGAUAUCGGGAGGACACCAGUGGCGAAGGCGGCCUACUGG
rnacentral:rRNA from 1 species